GCGCCCGUAGCUCAGUGGAUAGAGCACCGGCCUCCGGAGCCGGGAGCGGAGGUUCGAUUCCUCUCGGGCGUACCA
rnacentral:tRNA from 2 species